UAGGGGGAAUAAUGGUUGUUUUUGGUUAUACAAUGGCAAUGGCUACUGAGGAGUAUCCUGAGACCUGAGGGUCAGUGUUUGAGGUUCUGCUGGGUGUG